rnacentral:rRNA from 1 species
CCUACGGGAGGCAGCAGUAGGGAAUCUUUCACAAUGGGCGAAAGCCUGAUGGAGCAACGCCGCGUGCAGGAUGAAGGCCUUCGGGUUGUAAACUGCUUUUAUAAGCGAGAAAUAUGAUGGUAACUUAUGAAUAAGGAUCGGCUAACUACGUGCCAGCAGCCGCGGUCAUACGUAGGAUCCGAGCAUUAUCCGGAGUGACUGGGCGUAAAGAGUUGCGUAGGUGGCAUAAUAAGUAGCUAGUGAAAUCUGGUGGCUCAACCAUUCAGACUAUUAGCUAAACUGUUAAGCUCGAGACCGUUAGGGGUAACUGGAAUUUCUAGUGUAGGAGUGAAAUCCGUAGAUAUUAGAAGGAACACCGAUAGCGUAGGCAGGUUACUGGGGCGGUUCUGACACUGAGGCACGAAAGCGUAGGGAGCGAACGGGAUUAGAUACCCCGGUAGUC